rnacentral:rRNA from 1 species
UACGUAGGGCGCAAGCGUUGUCCGGAAUUAUUGGGCGUAAAGAGUUCGUAGGCGGCCUGUUACGUCUGCUGUGAAAUCCCGGGGCUUAACCCCGGGCGUGCAGUGGAUACGGGCAGGCUGGAGGCAGGCAGGGGAGAACGGAAUUCCCGGUGGAGCGGUGAAAUGCGUUGAGAUCGGAAGGAACGCCCGUGGCGAAGGCGGGCUCCUGGACCGCACCUGACGCUGAGACGCGAAAGCCAGGGGAGCGAACGGG